AGGGGCAAGGGGAGUUUGCAUGGGGGAGAAGUGGUUGGAGUUAGUGAAGAGUGAGAGGGGGUUUGCAGACAAGAGUUUAAACAAAAGUGUCUUUUUGAACAUAAAGCAAAGCCUGGACCUUUGAGUGUGGAAUCUAGUCUCUAAGUCCAGUUAAACCACAGUCUGUUGGAAAAGCUGACUGGCCAUGUGCUCAGCGCAGGAGUAACCGGAACAAGGGAACCAGAAUGGAAUAAAGGUUUCCUUGGAAGACAUUGAUUAUGCUUGAGAACAGACUUCGUCAUUAUAAGAAGCAAUGGGUAAGCCUGCAGGCCAGACACAGCAGGACCCCCCUGUGUAAAGGCUCUAAUUAAACUCCCUGUGACCGGUGCUUAUUCUCUUGCUCUGUGGGUUCUGAACGCUCAAGCUGCUCAUGUUUCUGCUGAUGCUCUUACCUGGAUGGUCAUUCCCCUCCUGGAUGUCUUUUUAUAGGAGUAAUAACCAACUGAUUUUUUUGCAAACUUGGUGCUACCUUGCAUAUUGACUGACAUACCUGAACCAGCAUUGAGAGAUAGGCAGGGCAACUGCCAACCCCCCCCCGCCCCCCUCCCCCGGCAAGGCUAAAAAUGAGGUGGAGGCUGGGGAGGAGGAAAACACGGAACAGACUGGAAUGAGAGGUAGACUUACAAAUACACCAGCAGUGGAUAUGCCCCACAGUGUCUCAAUGGCUGCCCUGGACUGGAGGGACCCCUUCUAAAAGUUUCCUAUAAUAAAAGCAUAGCAGAGUGUGAUGGAUCACAAUGAAAGCAUUUUAAAGCAUAGGUAAUCAUUAUAUGUAAUCAGAGUACAGUAAAGCACAUUGAACAAAACAUGGUAAACCAUGCUAAAGUAUAGUUAAUACAUAGUAUAACCAUGUGAAAAGCAUGGGAAAAUUUAUUGUGGUAAACUUUUGUAAGGGGCCAGUCCCUCAGAGGGUGGACAGCAGUCCUGUCGUAUAAUCGACAUACUCAUUUCACCAAAAUAAUAUUGGAACCCAGACAUGCAGGGGUUAACAGCCACUGUAAAGCAUUCACCCACUGUGCCACCAAGCAGCUGCAGCACUGGCAUUCUGUUCUCUAAUAAAACACUAUUCUAUUGGAAUGUUCUUACUUGAGGAUGUAUAUUUAAGUUUAUUUACCAAGUAAUAUAAUACACCUUUGUUUCUGUUGGGUUCACAGCUUUACAGCUGGGCGGGUCUUACAUACAGUACAAGGAGUUGACGCCACCAGCCUCAUAAAGAAUAUAACUAUCUAAACUGUGAUUUGGAAUACAGUACUUAACUACAUCAACCUCUGGACCCUGGGUCAUAUCUGCAUAUCACUUUCUUUGUAGUUGUGGGUAAAAUUGCUCAAAUAUUGAGUUUUAUUGUCUUUGUUUCUUAUGAGCUGGGACAGUGGUUUGCACUAUUUUGAAUACCCUAGCAACUUAUUGAAGUUGCCAGAACUUUCAUUUCUCAUGCACACCCUCAUUCUGGUUUGUGUAUUUCCAGCAGUGUCCAUUUAAUGUCACUGAAUCCUCUGUGUUUUUCAAAAGUGGAGCCUCCGCAAUAUUAAAUGCAGGUUAUUCAAGUAGAUGCAUCAAUUUAAUUAGUGUUAUCAUUUUCCUAUUUUUUUUAUUUGUAUAAUGUUUUUAUCCUUUGACUGCGCUUCCGGAGAAUCUAGCCCUAUGGUUAUACAAUCUAAUUUACUGUCCAUCCCGCAUUGUACUAACUGACAGAAUCAGAUUGUUUGGGAUUUUUAGAGAAACUUCAACAUUUCACGGGCCAAAGAAUUGUGAAUGGCAAGUGAAGUUAGAUGUUCCAGCAACGUCAUUUGCUGGGCUUUUCAAAACCAUUCAAAGCACUUUACCAGGUCAUACGAAGAACAUCAAUGAAACUCAAUAAUUCAGCAAACUUCUCAGAACAUGGGAAAGGUAAGGAAAAGCAAUGGCUGUCUCAGACUUUCCUAUUUUUAACUAUUCUUUAACUAUGAAACCAGCAAAAUUAAGAUCUGCCAAGGUUGUAAUUUUAACAUUUUUGUAAAAAGCUUUGUCACAAUUUAGUAUGAUGCAAAUGGGUGGUUUUAAGCUCAAACCAAUAAAUCAGUCAUUCGUGCCAGAAACAAAACCUCCAUAAACUGUUUUGUUUAAUUAUUCACCAGGUGAUUUUUUUGAACACCCCACCAGAAAGAUAGAAAGAUAACCUGGGUUAAUAGCUGGGGACUCGGGUCUCGAUCAGGUUUAUAGCAUUACUCUUGAACAGCAUGGGGCAGA